rnacentral:lncRNA from 1 species
CCCGAAAAACUUUUCUCUCAUUAAUAAGAGUUAAUAACAUAACACCUAUAUAUAUAUAUAUAACUUCAUUAAUAGAUAUUGUUCCCCCUAUAAUUUUCACAUUAAUAUAUGAUUUUAUUUAACAUAAAAUUUACAUUGAUAUAUAAAUAUUGCAAAUCACACACCUUUAUUUCACUUGACAUCCUGGAAAAGUGAAAAGAAAUAGAUACAUCAAGCUUUACCGCUGCAUAUAUAUAAUAGUAGUUACAAUUUUUCUUCACCCCCCUGCCGAAUUUAGAUUAUUGAGGUGGAUUUACACCGAUAAUUUCGUGGUUUUGGUAAAGUAAAAAAUUAAUCUGAUUACCAAAGUGUAAAUAAGUUGAUGUAUCAAUGUUGUUGCUAUCGCCAUUGACAUUGUUUCGUCUAAUCAAAGCGCCAUCAUUUUGUAAGAGUACACCAUUAGUCAAUUGCACACUCUUAUUUCUGUUUGUAACUUGAUGAUAAGUUGAAAUUUUCUCAACUUGUAAUAACGAUUUGUUCCAGUUAUUCUUCUUCAAUUCUUCUAUCUCUUUCUCAAAUCUCGCUAUCUCCUCUUCUAGAUGCUGUAAUUUCUGCCACUCAGUCUCGAUUGACACUGAGAAAUACAUCUCGUAGUUCCUCUUAACGUCAUUUAUCCGACAUAGAAUCNN